rnacentral:rRNA from 1 species
ACCGGCAAACGGGUGCGGAACACGUACACAACCUUCCUUCGAGCGGGGAAUAGCCCAGAGAAAUUUGGAUUAAUACCCCAUAGUAUAUUGAAGAGGCAUCUCUUUAAUAUUAAAGAUUUAUCACUUGAAGAUGGGUGUGCGGCUGAUUAGGUAGUUGGCGGGGUAACGGCCCACCAAGCCUGCGAUCAGUAACUGGUGUGAGAGCACGACCAGUCACACGGGCACUGAGACACGGGCCCGACUCCUACGGGAGGCAGCAGUAAGGAAUAUUGGUCAAUGGACGCAAGUCUGAACCAGCCAUGCCGCGUGGAGGAUGAAGGUCCUCUGGAUUGUAAACUUCUUUUAUCUGGGACGAAAAAAGGCUUUUCUAAGUCGUCUGACGGUACCAGAUGAAUAAGCACCGGCUAACUCCGUGCCAGCAGCCGCGGUAAUACGGAGGGUGCAAGCGUUAUCCGGAUUCACUGGGUUUAAAGGGUGCGUAGGUGGGUUGGUAAGUCAGUGGUGAAAUCCCCGAGCUUAACUUGGGAACUGCCAUUGAUACUAUCAGUCUUGAAUACCGUGGAGGUCAGCGGAAUAUGUCAUGUAGCGGUGAAAUGCUUAGAUAUGACAUAGAACACCAAUUGCGAAGGCAGCUGGCUACACGAGCAUUGACACUGAGGCACGAAAGCGUGGGGAUCAAACAGGAUUAGAUACCCUGUUAGUCCACGCCCU